rnacentral:rRNA from 1 species
GCUCGAAAGCGUGGGUAGCAAACAGGAUUAGAUACCCUGGUAGUCCACGCCGUAAACGAUGAUUACUAGGUGUAGGGGGGUCAACCUUCUGUGCCGGAGUUAACACAAUAAGUAAUCCACCUGGGGAGUACGACCGCAAGGUUGAAACUCAAAGGAAUUGACGGGGGCCCGCACAAGCAGUGGAGUAUGUGGUUUAAUUCGAAGCAACGCGAAGAACCUUACCAGGUCUUGACAUCCAACUAACGAAGUAGAGAUACAUUAGGUGCCCUUCGGGGAAAGUUGAGACAGGUGGUGCAUGGUUGUCGUCAGCUCGUGUCGUGAGAUGUUGGGUUAAGUCCCGCAACGAGCGCAACCCUUACAUUUAGUUGCUACGCAAGAGCACUCUAGAUGGACUGCCGUUGACAAAACGGAGGAAGGUGGGGAUGACGUCAAAUCAUCAUGCCCCUUAUGACCUGGGCUACACACGUACUACAAUGGCUAUUAACAGAGGGAAGCAAAACAGUGAUGUGGAGCAAACCCCUAAAAAUAGUCUCAGUUCGGAUUGUAGGCUGCAACUCGCCUACAUGAAGCCGGAAUUGCUAGUAAUCGCGGAUCAGCAUGCCGCGGUGAAUACGUUCCCGGGCCUUGUACACACCGCCCGUCACACCAUGAGAGUUGGCAACACCCGAAGUCAGUAGUCUAACCGCAAGGAGGACGCUGCCGAAGGUGGGGUUGAUGAUUAGGGUG